rnacentral:rRNA from 1 species
AUGGGCAAAGCGCGGGGACACUACACCGACAUGGUGUUGGAAGAGCGGGAGGCCGCGUUCCGGCAGGCGCAUGCCAACCAUAUGUACAAUCAUCGCCUCCUCGACGAGCACCCGCAUGCAAAGGAGCUAAUUGCUGGCACGAGCAUCAUGGCGGACAUGGAUGAGCAGAAGACAAUGCUCCUAUCCUAUGCCACCGUCCAGGAAAUCCGCCGUGAGUUAUGGCAGCACCGCAUCCUGCAGGCGGAAAAAGAAGCCACGUUAGCGGAGAUUGACACGGAGGCAGAGGAAUUUGACAGGGGCACUGACGACGUCACCAGAUCUGCACGCACCCCCCCCCCCUACCCCGCGGCCCCCGCCGCCCAUACUGACGAUGCGGACACGUCCGGUUUGCAUGCAUUUUGUGUGGUUUGUUGA